AUGAGGUCAACAGUAGAGAUGAUAAAGGGCAAAAUGUCGCCGGUUGAUGUUGGGACGAUGAUGCCUACAGAAGUACCGUGGUUGACCAGUCCGUGGCCUGCUCCGGCGAUUGACAAGGUUGCAUUGUCGGUGGAUGGCCCCUAUUGCCUGGAUGAUGGUCUUGCCUCAACUGGAAUGAAUUUACGCCGUCAUGGCGGUAGUGUUUUGUUUGCAGCCUAUAAAUUCACCUUUGACUGCAAUGAUGCACUAGAGGCGGAGCUACAUGCGUUGAUACAAGGGAUGGCCUUGAGAAUCCAACACUCGAAGGGGAGUAUCAUUGUCCAAUCAGAUUACUCUAAAGCCUUGUCAUGUCUUUAUGAUAAUAGGCUUCCAGGUCGGCAUAUGGUGUCUAAGUUGCAGAGAUCACGGAACACAUGCUAG
rnacentral:rRNA from 1 species